AUUGAACGCUGGCGGCAGGCCUAACACAUGCAAGUCGAACGGUAACAGGAAACAGCUUGCUGUUUCGCUGACGAGUGGCGUACGGGUGAGUAAUGUCUGGGAAACUGCCUGAUGGAGGGGGAUAACUACUGGAAACGGUAGCUAAUACCGCAUAACGUCGCAAGACCAAAGAGGGGGACCUUCGGGCCUCUUGCCAUCGGAUGUGCCCAGAUGGGAUUAGCUAGUAGGUGGGGUAACGGCUCACCUAGGCGACGAUCCCUAGCUGGUCUGAGAGGAUGACCAGCCACACUGGAACUGAGACACGGUCCAGACUCCUACGGGAGGCAGCAGUGGGGAAUAUUGCACAAUGGGCGCAAGCCUGAUGCAGCCAUGCCGCGUGUAUGAAGAAGGCCUUCGGGUUGUAAAGUACUUUCAGCGGGGAGGAAGGGAGUAAAGUUAAUACCUUUACUCAUUGACGUUACCCGCAGAAGAAGCACCGGCUAACUCCGUG
rnacentral:rRNA from 1 species